rnacentral:misc_RNA from 1 species
UCUCCGUUAUCCGGAGCAGUCCACGUAGAGUUCCCCCUUGCGGGUGGCAACUACGUGUAAGGGUUGCGCUCGUUGCGGGACUUAACCCAACACCUCACGGCACGAGCUGACGACAGCCAUGCAGCACCUAUACUGGUGUCCCUUGCGGGAAGGCGAUGUUUCCACCGCUGGUCACCGGCAUUUCGAGCCCAGGUAAGGUUCUUCGCGUAGCGUCGAAUUGAACCACAUGUUCCACCGCUUGUGCGGGCCCCCGUCAAUUCCUUUGAGUUUCAGUCUUGCGACCGUACUCCCCAGGCGCAGGACUUAACGCGUUAGCUACGGGACGACCCGCCUACGCGAGCCACCCCAAGUCCUGAUGGUUUAGGGCUAGGACUAC